CUAUCACAGGGUCUGGAACAUAUUAGGUUCUGUCAAUAGAAGAUACUAAAGAAAGAAAGCCAGGAGAAGAAAAGAGACUUCUUUCUUCAAGGUCUAAGCUGUUCUAAUAGCAUUAUUCUGGGAAUGGCAUCUUCCACUCCUCCUAGUACAAAGAACCUGCUUCCUCAUACCCCGUCAAGGAACUGCAGCAUCCAGGUACUUUCUCUGCCUCAAAGGUCUGCAUCCCAUUCUCCAUUUGGCCCCUCCUUUGAACUA
rnacentral:lncRNA from 1 species